rnacentral:rRNA from 1 species
UAGGGAAUCUUCGGCAAUGGGGGCAACCCUGACCGAGCAACGCCGCGUGAGUGAAGAAGGUUUUCGGAUCGUAAAGCUCUGUUGUAAGUCAAGAACGGGUGUGAGAGUGGAAAGUUCACACUGUGACGGUAGCUUACCAGAAAGGGACGGCUAACUACGUGCCAGCAGCCGCGGUAAUACGUAGGUCCCGAGCGUUGUCCGGAUUUAUUGGGCGUAAAGCGAGCGCAGGCGGUUUGAUAAGUCUGAAGUUAAAGGCUGUGGCUCAACCAUAGUUCGCUUUGGAAACUGUCAAACUUGAGUGCAGAAGGGGAGAGUGGAAUUCCAUGUGUAGCGGUGAAAUGCGUAGAUAUAUGGAGGAACACCGGUGGCGAAAGCGGCUCUCUGGUCUGUAACUGACGCUGAGGCUCGAAAGCGUGGGGAGCGAACAGGAUUAGAUACCCUGGUAGUCCACGCCGUAAACGAUGAGUGCUAGGUGUUGGAUCCUUUCCGGGAUUCAGUGCCGCAGCUAACGCAUUAAGCACUCCGCCUGGGGAGUACGACCGCAAGGUUGAAACG